GUUGGUCAAGGUCCUAGCUACUAGAAAACAGA
rnacentral:piRNA from 1 species